UUAUUAAUUUUUAGUAUUUCUUUGUUAAUUUUUUUUAUUUUAUAUUUAGUUGCUUCACAAGAUUACGAUAUAGUUUCAAACAAAAAAGACUUGUUUUAACUAUAUAGUAUGACCCCCUAAAAAUAACUCAUGCUCCGCCACUGGAUGAACUUCCGAUAAAAGUUAAAUCAUUAAUCAUGCUACAGUUGAAAAAACCAAGUUUUUUCUCUCUUCUCUUUCUAAAAUCUUUGAGAGGGAGAAAGCUCUGUUUAUACUUCCGGCGAUUCUUUUCAUUCCGUUAAACCUCUCUUAUAGAUUGAUGAGGCAAAAGUUAAGGAAGAAAACUGCAAAAGAUUUUCAUGAACUUCGGAGUAAGAUGCUAAAAUCUACCGGAAUCUUGUGGUGAAACGAGUGAUUUUCUCACUGGAAAUUUUUCAUGUCCGAUCGGAUUUUAGCUCUGGUAGAAAGACGAUGUUGACUAUUGAGUCGGUCAUUUUCCACUCUAGACGUGUCUAUGACGUGUCCCACUCUAGACCUAGCUUCUUGCUUUGCCGUAUCAUUUGUAUAGGUUUAUGUUUGGGCUUUAUAUUUGGGUUAUUGGACUCCUAAAAUUCACAUUGUAUCUUUCUUGUAAUCUGCCAAUGUUGGGUUAAUCAAUGAAAAUGGAUAGCGGACAAAAAAAAGAAAAAAAAAAAAAA